CACAUCAGUGGGCUCUCUUCUCUGUCUUCCAGAUAGGUUCUGCUAAAUGGGGAGCCCCAGCAGAAACUGGAGGAAGGGAGAAUAGGACAUCUGCCUGGCUACCUCUCCCAUCUGAAGUUCUCAACUCUUGUUGAGUGGCCGUCUCCAGGAAACUACUGAGUUUCUUCUGUCUCUCACUUCUGAAGUGGGGAUUGUACCAUCACUCCUACCUACCUCAGAGGAACUUUAAGACAGAUAUAAACUACACAAAUGCUUUGGAAAUGGUAAGCCAUUAUUGAACUAUAAGGACACCUAAGAAUGGAUUUCUUCAGGACCACACUGCCUCCCAGACUUCUGAAAAAUACUCCCUCUGCCAGGUUUCUCAUCACUGUCUGUGGCUGCUCUUUGAAGAGAAGAGAACACUGUGUACAAGGGUUGACCAGUGAAAGAACAUGAAAUGAAGACUGAAAAGGAGAUGCCAGAUAUUCAAGAGGAGCUCCAGGAAGGAAUAGUGUGAGAGCAGUCCAGGGAGUAAGUCCUUAAGAUUUCUUACGACCUGAGUUUGUCAAGCUCAUGGUUCAAGUUCAAUUCCAC
rnacentral:lncRNA from 1 species